rnacentral:rRNA from 1 species
UACGUAGGGGGCUAGCGUUGUCCGGAUUUAUUGGGCGUAAAGAGCGUGUAGGCGGCCAGGUAGGUCUGCUGUGAAAACUCGAGGCUCAACCUCGAGAUGUCGGCGGAAACCAUCUGGCUAGAGUCCGGAAGAGGAAAGUGGAAUUCCCGGUGUAGUGGUGAUAUGCGUAGAUAUCGGGAGGAACACCUGUGGCGAAGGCGGCUUUCUGGGCCUUACCUGACGCUGAGACGCGAAAGCGUGGGGAGCGAACCGG